GCCGAAGGCUGUGGAGUAUUUGUUGACCCCACUCAGAAGGCUCUCCAACGCAGACCAGUUCAUGGCCGCUACCUCAACGAGUCAAGUGAGGAAGUUCUCGUGGGUUGAACCUGAGUGCCGAAAACGAAAGUAGGGCACAAUCUUCUCUGAAUCUUGAGCCACUUGAGCACGACGUGAACCCAAGUGUGGAGAUUUCUGCUCCACUUCGGUUUGCCCGGCACAAUGCUCUUGACGGCGUGAGACUGCAGGCUGGCUCAGUGAAGCUCAGAUUCUCCCCCCCCCUCCCUUCCCUGCAUGGAGACUCCCCGAUCUCACUGUGAUUUUCUAGUGGUAAGAUACAAGGGAAAGAAAAAUGACUCCACAGUAUUGACAUCUCAGCUUUUGGCAGAGGAUAAAGAAGAUAUGACUAGUGAGGAGCAGUUCUGCCAAUUUAUAGAACCAGACAGGAACCUGAGAUUGAAACCCUUCUGAGGUCGAGACAAAAACAGAGAGCUGGAUGAAUGAACUUGUCUUGUCGUUGCUUCCUGGAGGUUGGAGCCACCCGGAUAAACCGCCGCAGGACUGGUAAGGUGAGCUUCCCGCUGCUCGCGCAGUCAGCCCUCCCCAUAGGCAACUAAACGUGAACAUCUUUUCCAGUGACCUUUUGAUAAGUCGAAAAUAUUGCAGUGAUGAGGCAUUGGCCGGCAUGUUAACCUUCAAAUUCACACAAAAGACUCGUCUGGAAACACGCAAACUUCUGAGUGGGGAAAUCAUUUCGUGUUUCGUGCUAGCUCUGAUAUUUUUUCUGCAUAUAUUUUGUGAUCUGUGUGACAUUAACGGAACUGAGAUGUGCCUCAUUGACAUUCAUGUAUUCAUUUGAUGUCACACUGUCAAAAAAAAUUGAAAACACUUGAGGGUAAAGGCAGGCAGAAAAGUGCGAGAAAUGAAAGGAUGGCGGAUUAUUGAUUGAUUAUCCUCACCGAUGCCGAUUCGCUUUGUAGUGUUAUCCUGCAGCCACUUGUGCACAUGUCUGUGGGAGUGAUUAGCUCAAUGUGUACACUCUUGUGAGUCCCUCCCUGCCUGCGGUGUGUGUUUGUGCAUGGAUGACAGAGUAAGAAAGAGCUCAUAAAUAUCCAUGUGUGUGUGCGUGGCAACACAACACUGCAUGCUGCAUCACUGACAUUCAAAUAAAACAUAAUACAUGAUUACAUGUGGAAAAAUAUGGUCCUUUUACGGUGUCACUUUUAUAGAUGGUGAAAAAUAGGACUAGCCUGUUUGCACUUACUCAAUAUGAGUUAAAAACAAUUUUGUUUUUUUGUGUGUAUGCUGUUGUUGACCUGACAGUAAAUUGUAUAUUGCAUCAUCGUUAGCGCUUUUUAUUUAGCAGCUCUCGUGAGCUAAGCACUGUGACCAAAAGGCCAAUGCAAGGGCACUGCGUGAAAGAGUUGCAAAGAGGGUCAGCGGUUCUCCAGAUGAGAAGAUGGUUUUUAAAAACACCUCCACCUUUUUAACCCAUGUUGUGUUCCCAAAGUGGCACUGCUGAACCACAAAAUGUUGCAAUAGUCAGCCAAACACAGAUCGGCACGAUGCAAUUUGAAACAAACACUCGCCCUGGCGGUUGUUGCGGAUUUUGAUUCAUCUCCGGCUUCUUUUGCCCUGAUACCCGUGGCACCAUGGUUCUAAGGAGAAACUCAUGCUGGUGCCUAGUUGCUAUAUUAUUCCUUGUUAUUAUGCUCAUUAAUAUUCUCCUUAGUACCGAGUCAAUGAUGAAAAGUAAGUACAAGUUCUGUCCUCGUAUUCCGCAGCUAUGCAGUAAUAGUGCGGGUGUUCAUUUACGAGUCGUGUUAGUCCGUUAGCAUUGGUCCAGAGCAGUCAUUAAUAUGCGCAUAUGAUGAAGAAAUGUUAUUUGCUAUUUGCAUAUUGUAGUCAC